CCUUCUCACUCCUCAGGAGUAAAAUUGAUCAGAAGAUGUCAUGAGCUUUCAUUUUAUGAAAUGAAAAAAGUCUUGAGAUGUUCAGCCCCUGGUGCUACAGCAACUGGUUUUGCAUAUGGAAAAAAUAAAGAACUUUCCUCCCUCUUUCACAUCCUACAUAAAAGUCAGUUUGAGAUGGAUCAUAAACCUAAACGUAAACACUAAAACAAAAAAUCUACUGCAAGAAAACUGAAGAGAAUACCUUUGCGACCUUGGCACAAACAAUGCUAGGAUAAAUUAAACGGAGACAGAAAAGAAAGGCUUCUCCCUAACUUAUGGGAAAAUGUUUUAUUUUCACUCACCGGGAGGAAUGGAUGGGCUUCUUCUGCAAACAUUCCACUUGCCACAUGGACUUGACUGUGGCUGGACUUGGUGAUAUCAGAAAGGACUGCUUGAAUGUGCUCAGAACACCUCUGGAACAAAUACCCCGUUUUAUUGCCUUAAGCCUUUAGUCCUCAUUGACUGCCAUAAAAGAAGUAAAAAGGAAAGUAGGAAUUGUAUCUACCCUUGUGUUUGAAGAAUUUGCAGUUCUCGUUAAUUCAUCCAAGUGCAGCACCUACAAUGAGAAACAGAGAACCAUUUUCAAAGGCUAUACAAGUGCUGUACACCUGAAACUGACACAACAUUGUAAACUGACUGCUUCAAUACAAAAAUAUGUAUUUUUAAAAGGCUGUGCAAAUACUACUUCAAAAGACCAGACAGCGAUACAGCGAAUCACUUUCUUGCUGUAAGUGUUAAGCCCGUACAUUUUUAUGAGCCUUCUAUGAU